rnacentral:lncRNA from 1 species
CAGCAAAUGGCCAUUGAACACUUCAAAAUGCGGUUAUCAGUGGAUGCCUCACCUUAGAAAAGUCCCGUAAAACUGAGGAAGAUUGUGGGAGGUAUCCUUGGGGGUCAUCUAGACCAGCACUCCAGCCUGCCCCAAAUCUACAGAUCAAAAAAGCAAAGUCCAGAGAAGUAACGUCUCAAGGUCACAUAAGUCAGUCCCUAUCAACAACAGCACUAAAAUCAAGGCUUCCUAAAACCAGUCGGAUCAUUGUUCCAUUAUAGCAUAUGGCUUUUCUUCUGGAAAAAUGUCCAACUGUAGCAGACAGAAAGGAAGCCAAGAGAGGGUGUUUACAGCAAGGAGGGGCUAUGAAAUAUCUUCACUCCAGGUUCUUUAUGAGCUGCAGUGUAUCAUUUUUAUCAGCAAUUGGAAGCAUGCUGCAUGUUUGACUCUGUGGACUCCUGCUUUACACAACAGAACAUUCCGAUGGUGUGCAUGUGCCAUACCCUGCCGUAACAAAUCUCAGCUGGUCCUCUGCUGUCCUCUGGGGAGAAUGCAUUUGAACUCAUCUCAAAAAGCUGGUUUUCUACCCUGGAGGUCUCCGAUGGCUACUGCGAGAAGAAAGCCAUGUCCCGAAAGCAGUGAUACAGAUUGGCAGCCACUGCAGAGAUGCAGAAUGUCGAAGAGUGUGUGUGUUGGAAUUCCUGGACAGACACUGCUCUGAAAGAAAAACCCUCUGGUUUUGGAAGUCUGGCUGGGCAAGGCAGGCGGAGGUCAUGGAGGGGCCGGCGUGAUGGAAUCCUCGGUGCAGCUGACUGCGCAGCCCGACACUGGCGUGGACACUGGGACGCGUCAUGCAACAUCCAACCAGAGCACACUCACGAGGACAAACAUGGGCCCACCUAUUUACCAUCAGAAAAACAAA